GACGAACGCUGGCGGCGUGCUUAACACAUGCAAGUCGAACGGGCCCGCACCUUUUUUGGGGGCGGGUUGAGUGGCGAACGGGUGAGUAUCACGUGAGUAACCUGCCCUCCUCUCCUGGAUAACCGCUUGAAAGGGCGGCUAAUACGGGGUGGUCCGGUUGGUCCGCAUGGGCCGGUCGGGAUAGUUUCAUCUUCGGGUGUUUCGGUGGGGGAUGGGCUCGCGGCCUAUCAGCUUGUUGGUGGGGUGAUGGCCCACCAAGGCGGUGACGGGUAGCCGGCCUGAGAGGGUGGGCGGCCACACUGGGACUGAGACACGGCCCAGACUCCUGCGGGAGGCAGCAGUGGGGGGUAUUGCACAAUGGGCGGAAGCCUGAUGCAGCGACGUCGCGUGAGGGAUGGAGGCCUUCGGGUUGUGAACCUCUGUUUCCGGUGGUGAAGGCCCCGCCC
rnacentral:rRNA from 1 species